rnacentral:rRNA from 1 species
CAGCCGCCACGGGAAAACGAAGGGGGCUAGCGUUGUUCGGAAUCACUGGGCGUAGAGGGUGCGCAGGCUGGUUCUUAAGUCAGGGGUGAAAUCCCGAGGCUCAACCUCGGAACGGCCUUUGAUACUGGGGAUCUUGAGUCCGGAGAGGUGAGUGGAACUGCGAGUGUAGAGGUGAAAUUCGUAGAUAUUCGCAAGAACACCAGUGGCGAAGGCGGCUUACUGGCUCGAAACUGACGCUGAGACGCGAAAGCGUGGGGAGCAAACAGGAUUAGAUACCCCAGUAGUCCCUGUCUCUUAUACA